UUUUAUGCGUUAGGGAUAGCAAUGAAAAUCCUUUUUGUGAGCUACGAGCAAAAAGAUUGUAAUGAAUAGCCCGACCUUUA
rfam:Algibacter sp. SK-16 scaffold12_cov60_read183, whole genome shotgun sequence.